UUUGUACAUUUGCCCAAAAGCAGUCAAAAUGAUUUCCUUGGGCAAUCUAGUGUUAAACAUUGACUUAGAAUAGUGAUUCGAGUGAGAAAGGUCGAAGUUUAAUUUCGUUUGACACCGCGAAGGCUGCAAAUGAAAGACCCGAUUUUAUCAUUUAAAUUAUUUUCAUUUUCUACUCACUAACAGCAGCCGACGUGGGACAAACGGGAAACCGACUCGACGGCGAAUAGACGAGUCUCGUUCACGCGAGUCGAGUUCACUGAAAAAUAAAUUGUAAGGUUCUAACGCAUCGCCGAUUAACCGGCGUGAAUUUACUCAGUCGACUCGACGCUUAAACCGAUUCGCCUGUAUCAAUCGGCGUUAAUCGUCGAUCGUAUUUAUGAAUCAAGAGUAGAAGCGAAGCGAUUUCAAAGAGUUAGGUACUAUCGUUGUUCCGUUGAUCGUUUUUUCAUAGAUUUUAUUACGCCGUGACCGCAUCGCGUGCUCUUGCCGAACGUUCGUCGGUUGAUUCGCUGGGAGGAGGUAAACGAGAACGGUGCCGGAGAUGACCGAGCUGUAGCGUUCGCGAUGUGCCCCGAGAUCGUUUCGAGGAUCGGUCGUGAUCCUUGGAUCGAACAUUCGGGCGGACACGUCGGCCGAGGGAGCCGAUUCGGGGGAUUGAAUAGAGUAACACGAUAGAUAAAUGGUAGGAAUUAAUAGAAAACGAAAGACGCUUGCUUAUAUAUGAAUUACAGAAGACGGAACCGAGGAGUCUAGUCAAUUAGAAUGAUCCCCCACGGUGUUCCCCUCCCCGGCCGGACAGCAACGGUUGCGAUUUCCUUUUCACUUUGUUUAUUCGAUAUUUAAUCAAAAUUUGAACCUUCCAAGGAACUGUCCAGUCAACCAAAGAACGAGAAUCAAAUACGAAUUUUAAUUAAAUAUUGUAUACAAGAUCUUUAUUAUAGAUGAAGUGGACGCCGGAAGGAGUCGUCGUUUCGGUGACGCGCUACGCGGCUUCGAGACGCGGUCGAUUCCUUCGGCGAGAGGUAAACGAAUCCCCGGGUGUGAAAGUUGUGAGGGAAUCGCGAGGUCCCACGGGACGCGGCCACGCCUAGCCAGGACUAUUUUUCUAAGUUGCAAAGCAUAAUAAAUUAACGAUGUUGCAUUAUCGUUAUUAGAGUAUAUAUUACCAUGUACAUUGAUAUUUUAACUAGCCGAGUAAGCGACAUACGUACGCGGUAAUCGUUGCGAGCAUAGCGAGAGAGAGAGCUGGAUAUAAUAUAAUGAUUAUACAUAUUGUAGAUAAAUUUGGUUGCGGAUCGGUUCGCACUUGAGGUCGUCGAGCGCCCGCGCGCGCUGCGACACGCUCGUUAGCCUGGUAAAUUCCAAACGGUGGAGUAAAAACGAAUAAUUGUUCGGCCGCCGGACGCCGGCCGGCGAACGUCUUUUCUUUUGUUUCAGCGUCGAUCGGGGUUUCGCAAUAGACGGGAGAGAUACAAAAUUCCUAGACGCGCGCUGACACGAGGCUAGAACUUAGCAUCGCGUGGGUGAUGGGUGUAAGUAAUUACGUGAGAAAAAUAUGAAAGUCGGUGUGCGUGCGCGUGAAUCAGUCGAGAGAGUUAAACACGAUCGUCGUGUCCGGUCAGUGACCAGGGAAAGAGAGAGAGAAAGAGAGAGAGAGAGAACGAAAGAGAAUUAAAAAUAUGAAUCGUUCUGUCAGUCACCUCACGUAUAUAUAAUACAAUGUCAUAAUACUAUGCUGCCAUAUGAUAUAAAUACAUGUCUACGGAUAAAGGAAUGCAUGGAACGUCACUCAAUAAAUCGGCCAAAGACACAUCGUUCGAUUCUUACAUCUUUAUUUCUCAGAGAAUCGACAUUUACCGAUGAUCGUUAGGAGAACCAUUCAGUUACGUGCGGAACUUCCUCGCCAGCCAUUAAGUAACGCAAUGUUUAAUCCGAGACGCAUAAAUUCUGAGACGGCCCGGUGGAGAAUUAUUGUUAAAUUAAUCAUAUGAAUUUAAUCACUCUUGAUCAGUGCAUCUUCUUGCAAACAUGUUAGGCGUUAUUAUAGUCUUAAUUGCGAACUCGACGUCGACCGAGCAGGAGGUCGUUCGUACAUGUUGGCUUGUAGUUACUCAAUGCGAGUCGCAGGAUCAAACGUAAUUUUAAAGAUGUAAUUUUAUAGAAUCACACUCACGCGUCAGAUCAUUCUUCCUUGGAUUAAAUCUCGACCCAUUGCAACUUGUAAUAGUUCUCGAAGGUUGCUCGGUUAACAUCACGAAUAAAUCGUUCAUAUCUUUUAUUUAUUGCAAAGAUUCAUAAAUAAAAGACAUAAGCAACCUAGCCGUAAUGCUUAUUAAAUUUGCAAGUUCUUCAUAUUUCUUCUUGUAAACAUAUCAGCCGUUAUCAUAGUCUUAUUUGCGAGCUCGACGUCGACCGAGAAGGAGGUCGUUCGUACAUGUCGGCUUGUAGUUACUCAACGUGAGUCGCAGAAUUGAACGUAAUUUUAAAGAUGUAAUUUUAUAGAAUCACACUCACGCGUCAGAUCAUUCUUCCUUGGAUUAAAUCUUGACCCAUUCCAACUUGUAAUAGUUCUCGAAGGUUCCUCGGUUAACAUCACGAAUAAAUCGUUUAUGUCUUUUAUUUAUUGCAAGGAUUCAUAAAUAACAGACAUAUGCGAUGUAUCCGUAAUGCUUAUUAAAUUUACAUGUUCUUCAUAAUAUUUCUGAAACAUACCAGGUGUGAACGCACCAUUUUUUCAGGGUCCGUCAAAUCUUCCUUAAUCGCAUUACAGAUGAAAUAAUGUGCUUCGCCGAUUUACAGAUCUAUCCAUUAACUUAAUACACAUAAUUAAGUAAAAUGAAUAGUUCUACAUUUCAGAAAGCAUUUUCUUCGCUGCAAACCGGUCGUUGGAGAGUCCCAACGCAAUGAUAGCUCCCGAACGCUUCAAAUUUAGCAACUUCCUUCAGAAACUCUUCUCUCUUUCCUCAGAGGCCAAUUCCUUCAUUUUGCACGUUUCAGUUAAGUAUGAUUAACUUCCCAGUCCUAAUAAUAUCCAAGCAUGCUGAUCGAACUUUCUUUGUGACACAAAUAAAAACGCGAGAAACUGGUUUAUUAAUUUUAUAUGUUAAUUGUAAUUAUUCAAGAAACUAAAUCAGUGAACUCCGAUUUUACGUGAUCGUCGCAAGCAAACUAGGAACGAGACUGUUAAACCAUCGACACACGCACAGUGAUUUCAUUUGGCAAAAACUUGCAAAAAAAAACCAGCCGUUUCUGGCGAUUGUUUUCGUUUUGAUUUUCGAAUAUUUCUAUUUGUACUGCUACGUAUAUACCAGGAAUAUCAAUAUUUGUUGUUCUUAUAGUUGAAACGGAUUCUUCUACAUAUCUUACUCAAUUAAUAAAUAAAAUUUUUUAUUGCAAAACCUUUUCGUUUGUCCUAGCGAGAACUGUCUCAGGCAAAAAUUGUAUUAUACGUUUUAUAAAAAUUGUAUUACAUUAUAUUGUAAUAUAUUAUCAGCUACGAAAAAGAUACUGCACCGUUCGAUCCUACAUCUUCAUUUCUCAGAGUAUCAAAACAUUUACAUUAUUGUCUUGCAUGAUUUUAACAUUCUUUUUCGUUUGUUCCAGAUAUCUUUCAGUCAACGAGUCCAGAAUUAAUGAAGACAGCAUCUGAAUUUCUUACAGCACCAGUGUCAGUGAUAAAUUUAUACGUAUAGUACUUAAGCAUUCCUCUUUGCAAAUUAUUGUGAAUUUCUUGUAGUUUAAUUAAUAAAGAAAUAGUUUAAACGGAA